ACGGGAGGCAGCAGUGGGGAAUAUUGGACAAUGGGGGAAACCCUGAUCCAGCGACGCCGCGUGAGUGAAGAAGUAUUUCGGUAUGUAAAGCUCUAUCAGCAGGGAAGAUAAUGACGGUACCUGACUAAGAAGCCCCGGCUAACUACGUGCCAGCAGCCGCGGUAAUACGUAGGGGGCAAGCGUUAUCCGGAUUUACUGGGUGUAAAGGGAGCGUAGACGGCAUAGCAAGUCUGAAGUGAAAUCAUAGGGCUCAACCCUGUAAUUGCUUUGGAAACUGUUAAGCUCGAGUACCGGAGGGGCAGGCGGAAUUCCUGGUGUAGCGGUGAAAUGCGUAGAUAUCAGGAAGAACACCGGUGGCGAAGGCGGCCUGCUGGACGGUAACUGACGUUGAGGCUCGAAAGCGUGGGGAGCAAACAGGAUUAGAUACCCUGGUA
rnacentral:rRNA from 2 species